rnacentral:rRNA from 1 species
AUUGAACGCUGGCGGCAGGCCUAACACAUGCAAGUCGAGCGGCAGCGGGUCCUUCGGGAUGCCGGCGAGCGGCGGACGGGUGAGUAAUGCCUAGGAAUCUGCCUGGUAGUGGGGGAUAACGUUCGGAAACGGACGCUAAUACCGCAUACGUCCUACGGGAGAAAGUGGGGGAUCUUCGGACCUCACGCUAUCAGAUGAGCCUAGGUCGGAUUAGCUAGUUGGUGGGGUAAAGGCUCACCAAGGCGACGAUCCGGAACUGGUCUGAGAGGAUGAGCAGUCACACUGGAACUGAGACACGGUCCAGACUCCUACGGGAGGCAGCAGUGGGGAAUAUUGGACAAUGGGCGAAAGCCUGAUCCAGCCAUGCCGCGUGUGUGAAGAAGGUCUUCGGAUUGUAAAGCACUUUAAGUUGGGAGGAAGGGCAGCUAGUUAAUACCUGGUUGUUUUGACGUUACCAACAGAAUAAGCACCGGCUAACUUCGUGCCAGCCGCCGCCGUAACAC